rnacentral:lncRNA from 1 species
GGGCUCCCUCGCUCAAGAAGAACUUUUCAGUGACUCAUUGUUUCUCCCUGUCUAUGAAAAAUAUGCACAUUACUCUCAACAUACAGGAGCUGAGCUGGCUGACAAAGAGAAGCUUUGCCAUCCUGACUCUGACUACAGCAAGCUCCUCCUGUUGGCUUCUCUGACAAACUCUGACUGCUGGCUCUUCCUGCUGGAAUAUGACUGCAGGUCCGUGGAGGCACCACCAGAGGGAAAUAAUAAUGGAAAUUAGAAAUGAAGCAGUCUGCUAAAAACAAAAUUAAAGACCUCCGAGAAAUUACAGUCUUCAGAUUUGAUUGUUUUUAAACUGACAGCCUGCUGAAACUCAGAGAAAGAUAAACACAUUAUGUUCAACUUGUGGGUAUCUGCCUUACAGUGACAAGAAAAUAUCCUUACUUCAAGAAAAUGCACUUUAGAAAAAGGGAA